rnacentral:rRNA from 1 species
UACGGGGGGGGCAAGCGUUGUUCGGAAUUACUGGGCGUAAAGGGCUCGUAGGCGGCCAACUAAGUCAGACGUGAAAUCCCCCGGCUUAACCAGGGAACUGCGUCUGAUACUGGAUGGCUUGAGUUUGGGAGAGGGAUGCGGAAUUCCAGGUGUAGCGGUGAAAUGCGUAGAUAUCUGGAGGAACACCGGUGGCGAAGGCGACAUCCUGGACCAACACUGACGCUGAGUGAGCGAAAGCCAGGGGAGCAAACGGG